UACAGAGGGCGCAAGCGUUGUUCGGAUUCAUUGGGCGUAAAGGGUGCGUAGGCGGCGCGGUAAGUCGGGUGUGAAAUCUUGGAGCUUAACUCCGAAACUGCAUUCGAUACUGCCGUGCUUGAGGACUGGAGAGGAGACUGGAAUUUACGGUGUAGCGGUGAAAUGCGUAGAUAUCGUAAGGAAGACCAGUGGCGAAGGCGGGUCUCUGGACAGUUCCUGACGCUGAGGCACGAAGGCCAGGGGAGCAAACGGG
rnacentral:rRNA from 1 species